rnacentral:rRNA from 1 species
AAUAGAUACCCUGGUAGUCCACGCUGUAAACGGUGGGAACUAGGUGUGGGCAGCAUUCCACGUUGUCUGUGCCGUAGCUAACGCAUUAAGUUCCCCGCCUGGGGAGUACGGCCGCAAGGCUAAAACUCAAAGGAAUUGACGGGGCCCGCACAAGCGGCGGAGCAUGUGGCUUAAUUCGACGCAACGCGAAGAACCUUACCAAGGCUUGACAGUACGCCGGAAACCAUGGAGACAUGGUCCCUCUUUGAGUCGGUGUGCAGGUGGUGCAUGGCUGUCGUCAGCUCGUGUCGUGAGAUGUUGGGUUAAGUCCCGCAACGAGCGCAACCCUUAUCCUGUGUUGCCAGCAACUCUCUUCGGAGGGGUUGGGGACUCACGGGAGACUGCCGGGGUCAACUCGGAGGAAGGUGGGGACGACGGUCAAGGUCAUCAUGCCCCUUAUGCCUUGGGCUGCACACGUGCUACAAUGGCUGGUACAAUGAGCUGCGAUGCCGUGAGGUGGAGCGAAUCUCAAAAAGCCAGUCUCGU